GGAACAUUGGGUUGCAGAGACCCACCUGCAGCCCGUGGUGGAGUCCAUGCCGGAGCGGGUGGAUAUCCAAAGGAGACUGUGACCCUGUAGGAGGCCCAUGAUGGAGCAGGGUCCUGGCAGAGACCUGGAGCCUGUGGAGAGGAAAGCCCACGCUGGAGCAGGUUUUUCCCAGGUCAUACAAAAAUGCCUGCAACCUACUCGAAAACAGAUGUCCAGGAAACUUCUACUGAUGUGGCAAAACUCAGUAAAAGAUGUUUCUAUUAGUAUGAAUGGAAAGGAAAUAUGAACACAAGGGUACAAAAUAGCAAGAGGAGGAGAGCUAUAAAAACGACUGACACAUGCUGUAGAGAACCAUCAAGACCCUGGCACACAUCUACCUACAACUCCUCAGGACAGCUGGAACCAGAGGUGGUGAAUAAAUCCUACUGACUCACAGUAGGAUUUGGGACAUUUGACUCCUGACACAUCAAUCAGACUCAUCCACAACUGGUACACUCCUAGUAAGAACCCUGAAAGUGGGGGGAUAGAUUUAAAAACUGGUGCUGCUUGUCAUUUCAAGCCACCCUGGAGAGCCUCCCUGGGUACAGAUGUUGAUGCCUGCCUACUGUCAGACUACUUACAUGCAUUUUAGUUCUUGUUAUAUUAAAAUGUGAGUAUUAGGGGCUGAAUCAGUUGUGUUUUAAAAUAAAUCAAUAUUUCCAUUCUAUGAGGUAGUGCACUUGAGAUACUGCAUCAACCUUCCUCAAUGCCAUGGACAUAAGAACAAACAAGCACACACAGCCUCAUCUGUACAGUGCAGUUUUCCCCCAGGUAGCUGGAGGCUCUGCACAGUUGUGAACAAGGGGAACUCUGCAUUACCUGCCCUGUGUAUCCGAAACUGAUGUGGAAAUUAAAUUUUCUGAUUCAUGAACCAUUGAA